UCUUCAUUUCACACACUAUCUCGCCUCUCUGACCGGUGAGAGAGUGCGUGAAAUGAAGAGA
rnacentral:pre_miRNA from 1 species